rnacentral:misc_RNA from 1 species
AGAGUUGAUGUGCGGUGUGGCUGCUAGGAUUAGGAGAGAGUGGCUACCCUCGAUCUAAAUGAAAUCUCAAUGAGUGUCAAUGAGUGAAAAUGAAUGUAUCAUUAGGAGAAUAAGAUGUGUAUUUAUAGACAUGUUACUAUAUAGGAAGAUUUAACCUAGGUUUAUUUAGGAAAAAAUCUAAUUUUGCUGCAAAUUUCUUCUUAUUUAGCUAAAAAGAUCAGAUCACCUUCAUAUUUAACUAAAAAGAGCAUAUAUCUUCCUAUUGAGGAUUCUAAUUUUCGACCAACCUAGAGAUUGGCUGCCUAUUAU